GUUAUAGUUUUCCGGAGGAGGGGUUUGCUCGAAAGUAUGCAAUAAGUUAUGCUUAAGGGCGAUCAGAUAAGGCGUAUGGGGCAUGUUGAACGAUACAUUGUUGACCGACCAACGCACGAAACCAUUUAUCCUGUUUUGGGUAUUGAGCAUGACAAUGACCCUGUCCGAUGUUUUAGGAGGAGCGUGAAUGAAAUCCUUGUGGGAUUUGAUUGCAACACUCUGAGCCACCCUUGGAGCUACAUCGUUCCAAUGGGGCCCCGCAGGUGGUACAGUAGGAGGGGUUCUCCUAGGAUGGUUUGGGUAGUAAGUAAUAAUU
rnacentral:lncRNA from 1 species